UACGGGGGGGGCGAGCGUUGUUCGGAAUUACUGGGCGUAAAGGGUGCGUAGGCGGCUUUGCAAGGCAGAUGUGAAAUCCCAGGGCUCAACCUUGGAACUGCAUUUGUGACUGCAUCGCUGGAGUGCGGCAGAGGGGGAUGGAAUUCCGCGUGUAGCAGUGAAAUGCGUAGAUAUGCGGAGGAACACCGAUGGCGAAGGCAAUCCCCUGGGCCUGCACUGACGCUCAUGCACGAAAGCGUGGGGAGCAAACAGG
rnacentral:rRNA from 1 species